AAUAUUGUCCCAUGGGCGCAAGCCUCAUGCAGCCAUGCCGCGUGUAUGAAGAAGGCGUUCUGGUUGUAAAGUUCUUUAAGCGAGGAGGAAGGCAGUGAUGAUAAUAACGUCAUCGAUUGACGUUAGGCGCAGAAGAAGCUCUGGCUAAUUCCGUGCCAGCAGGCGCAGUAAUAGGUAGGGUGCUAGCGUUGAUCUGAACUACUGGGUGUACAGCGCAUGCAGGCCGUCGGUCAAGUCGGAUGUGAAAUACCCUGGCUCUGCCUGGGAACUGCAUUCGAAAUUAGCAGUUUAGUGUCUAGUAGAGGCGGGUAGAGUUCCACGUGUAGCGGUGAAAUGUGUAGAGAUCUGGAGGAAUACGGGUGGUAAAGGCGGCGCUCUGGACAAAGUCUGACGCUCAGGUGCGUAAGCGUGGAGAGCAAACAGGAUGAGAUACGUUGUUAGUCCGAGCUGUAAGCGAUGUAGACUUAGACGUUGAAUCCUUGAGGCGUGGACUAGAGAGCUAACGCGUUAAGUCGACUGCAUUUGGAGUACGGCCGCAAGGGUAAUAAUCUAAUGAAUUAACGAGGGCCCGCACGAGCGGUGGAGCCUGUGGUUUAAUUUGAUGCAACGCGAAGAACCUUACCUACUCUUGACAUCCAGAGAACUUAGCAGAGAUGUUUUGGUGCCUUCGGGAACUCUGAAACAGGUGAACCAUGGCACUUUUCAGCUCGUGUAAAGAAAUGUUGGGUUAAGUCCCGUUACUAGUGCACCCGUCAUCCUUGGUUGCGAGCGGUGCGCCUGGGAAAUCAAAGGAGACUGCCAGUGAUAAACGGGAUGAAGGUGGGGAUGAAGUCAAGUCAUCAUGGGCCAUACGAGUAGGGCUACACGGGAUCUACAAUGGCGCAUACAAAGAGAAGCGACCUCGCGAGAGCAAGCGGACCUCAUAAAGUGGGUAGUAGUCCGGAUUUGAGUCUGCAACUUGACUCCAUGAAGUCCGAAUCGAUAGUCCUUUUCUUUGAGAAUUCCCCGGUGAUUAGGUUCCCGGGCCGAGUACGGACCGCCGGUCACCCCAUGGGAGUGGGUUGCAAAAGAAGUAGGUAGCUCCACUUUCACGAGGGCGUUUAACAC
rnacentral:rRNA from 1 species